UUUAAACUUAGUAUACAUCCAUAGGUAAUGGCUGCAAGUGAGAAUCUACUUUUUGAAACAAGUUGAAAAAAAGCAUUUGUCUACAAAAGAACAUCAGGCCUUUCUAUUGCUUGAGACACAACAAUAUUGAAAUUAGGCAAAUUGAUAGCCCUACAAUGGCCUCUAAGUGUUCACGUGAAAAGAAGAAUCACAGACCUCUCAUUUGAAAUUCAUGUUGUUUUCAUGCCUGCUAACACAACAUCCAUUCUGCAGCGCAUGGAUCAAGGGUUAAUUUUGAUUUUCAAUGUUAUUAU
rnacentral:lncRNA from 10 species